AGCAUUGCACAGUCCGUCCUUUUCAGCGUUCUCUGUGGGCUGACUACUGUCAUCAAGAGCCACCGGAUCAACAGCAAUCAGCAUGAACAGCUGCAUCAGCUGCUGCAUCGCUGAUGGGAAACCUUGGAUUCCUCUCGAGAGUUGUUACCGUGCUUGGAGAGGUUCCGCUUGUGCCUUUGCACAAUCAAACUGUUGAAAUACCACAAUACUUUGUCUCAGCAUCACUAGCUACAAGAAUGCUUGUAUUUUCUCGGAGGUACAGCUCUCCGGAGGGGAUUUUCAGGAUUUUCAUUGGAAGAGUACAUAAGGCGUUUAAACCCUCUUGUGUUCCCAUCCUGGCUCCAAUCACCUCACAGUCCCCUGGCUCAUCUCUGUGGAUUUCAGGGUUACACUGCAAGGAGUUUCUUUCUCUGAAGAUGGAGUAAUCAACAAUAUUCUGCAAAAGUCUACAGUAUUUCUGGCAAGGUGUUGCUUAGUGGAUGAAAUGAAUUUCUGCAACUCAGCCCCUAUCCAAUGAAGCCCUCCAGGACACACUGAAGUAGUCCCAGACGUGAAGCUGGCUGUGCUCUCCUGGGGACAAGGGGACAACCUGUAAGAAGCAGACGUGGUUCUGAUUUCCUCGGAAGAAGCACAAAAGGAGAUGUCCUGUUCUUUGAAAAUAACUGGAGCCACCGGCAAGAAGCAGCGACGCCGCACCGAACAAGGGAACCACUUCCAGGUUAUCCAAGCAUGCUGCUGAACUGACUUUUGCAGCUGCAUUUUCCAAUGUAC